UACGUAGGGGGCUAGCGUUGCUCGGAAUUAUUGGGCGUAAAGGGCGCGUAGGUGGCCAUGCAAGUCGGAGGUGAAAUCCCUCGGCUCAACUGAGGAACUGCCUCCGAUACUGCAUGGCUUGAGUCCCGGAGAGGGUGGUGGAAUUCCCAGUGUAGCGGUGAAAUGCGUAGAUAUUGGGAGGAACACCGGUGGCGAAGGCGGCCACCUGGACGGGUACUGACGCUGAUGCGCGAAAGCGUGGGGAGCAAACGGG
rnacentral:rRNA from 1 species